GCUUAUCAUGCAAGUUCGAGGGGCAGCGCGGUGUAGCAAUACACUGGCGGCGACCGGCAAACGGGUGCGGAACACGUACGCAACCUUCCUUCAAGCGGGGAAUAGCCCAGGGAAACUUGGAUUAAUACCCCAUAAUACAGUUGGUUCGCAUGGACUGAUUGUUAAAGAACUUCACUUGAAGAUGGGCGUGCGUCUGAUUAGGUAGUUGGCGGGGUAACGGCCCACCAAGCCUACGAUCAGUAACUGGUGUGAGAGCACGACCAGUCACACGGGCACUGAGACACGGGCCCGACUCCUACGGGAGGCAGCAGUAAGGAAUAUUGGGCAAUGGACGCAAGUCUGACCCAGCCAUGCCGCGUGGAGGAUGAAGGUCCUCUGGAUUGUAAACUUCUUUUAUCUGGGAAGAAAAAAGGGAAUUCUUUCCCGUCUGACGGUACCAGAUGAAUAAGCACCGGCUAACUCCGUGCCAGCAGCCGCGGUAAUACGGAGGGUGCAAGCGGUAUCCGGAUUUACUGGGUUUAAAGGGUGCGUAGGUGGGCUGGUAAGUCCGUGGUGAAAUCCCCGAGCUUAACUUGGGAACUGCCAUGGAUACUAUUGGCCUUGAAUUUUCUGGAGGUUAGCGGAAUAUGUCAUGUAGCGGUGAAAUGCUUAGAUAUGACAUAGAACACCGAUUGCGAAGGCAGCUGGCUACAGAAACAUUGACACUGAGGCACGAAAGCGUGGGGAUCAAACAGGAUUAGAUACCCUGGUAGUCCACGCCCUAAACGAUGAUUACUCGACAUACGCGAUACACUGUGUGUGUCUGAGCGAAAGCAUUAAGUAAUCCACCUGGGAAGUACGACCGCAAGGUUGAAACUCAAAGGAAUUGGCGGGGGUCCGCACAAGCGGUGGAGCAUGUGGUUUAAUUCGAUGAUACGCGAGGAAACCUUACCUGGGCUAGAAUGUCACGCGACCGGUGGUGAAAGCUGCCUUUAUAGCAAUAUAC
rnacentral:rRNA from 1 species